GACGAACGCUGGCGGCGUGCUUAACACAUGCAAGUCGAACGGAAAGGCCCUGCUUUUGUGGGGUGCUCGAGUGGCGAACGGGUGAGUAACACGUGAGUAACCUGCCCUUGACUUUGGGAUAACUUCAGGAAACUGGGGCUAAUACCGGAUAGGAGCUCCUGCUGCAUGGUGGGGGUUGGAAAGUUUCGGCGGUUGGGGAUGGACUCGCGGCUUAUCAGCUUGUUGGUGGGGUAGUGGCUUACCAAGGCUUUGACGGGUAGCCGGCCUGAGAGGGUGACCGGCAACAUUGGGACUGAGAUACGGCCCAGACUCCUACGGGAGGCAGCAGUGGGGAAUAUUGCACAAUGGGCGGAAGCCUGAUGCAGCAACGCCGCGUGCGGGAGGACGGCCUUCGGGUGGUAAACCGCUUUCGCCUGUGACGAAGCGUGAGUGACGGUAAUGGGGAAAGAAGCACCGGCUAACUACGU
rnacentral:rRNA from 1 species